rnacentral:rRNA from 1 species
CCCUACGGGGUGCAGCAGGCGCGAAACCUUUACAAUGCGCUAACGCGUGAUAAGGGUACUCCAAGUGCUUAUGCUUUGCAUAGGCUUUUGCUAAGGGCGAAAACCUUGGCGAAUAAGUGGUGGGAAAGACUGGUGCCAGCCGCCGCGGUAA